AACGAACGCUGGCGGCAUGCCUAACACAUGCAAGUCGAACGAGAUCUUCGGGUCUAGUGGCGCACGGGUGCGUAACGCGUGGGAAUCUGCCCUUUGGUUCGGAAUAACAGUUGGAAACGACUGCUAAUACCGGAUGAUGACGAAAGUCCAAAGAUUUAUCGCCAGAGGAUGAGCCCGCGUAGGAUUAGCUAGUUGGUGUGGUAAAGGCGCACCAAGGCGACGUUCCUUAGCUGGUCUGAGAGGAUGAUCAGCCACACUGGGACUGAGACACGGCCCAGACUCCUACGGGAGGCAGCAGUGGGGAAUAUUGGACAAUGGGCGAAAGCCUGAUCCAGCUAUGCCGCGUGAGUGAUGAAGGCCUUAGGGUUGUAAAGCUCUUUUACCCGGGAUGAUAAUGACGGUACCGGGAGAAUAAGCUCCGGCUAACUCCGUGCCAGCCGCCGCCGUAA
rnacentral:rRNA from 1 species